UACAGAGACUGCAAGCGUUGCUCGGAAUCACUGGGCGUAAAGGGUGCGUAGGCGGCUUGGUAAGUUGGGUGUGAAAGCCCCGGGCUCAGCCCGGGAAGGGCACUCGAAACUGCCGAGCUGGAGUGCCGGAGGGGAGAGUGGAAUUCCUGGUGUAGCGGUGAAAUGCGUAGAUAUCAGGAGGAACACCAAUAGCGAAGGCAGCUCGCUGGGACGUUACUGACACUAAGGCGCGAAAGCGUGGGGAGCGAACAGG
rnacentral:rRNA from 1 species